ACGUCCUCUACCUCUGGUGUCCGCUAGUGGCAGGCUUUCUCCCUUUUUCUGCUCGUUCUCUUUUUCUCCUGCUCUCUCAUUUUCUCAGGUGGGCGUGAGAACAGACGGCGGUGAGGCUGGUGGCAGGUGUGUAGCAUUGGUAAUCAGCUGACUGGUCGCUGGGUGAUUGGACGCCUGCAGCUGCAACCACUCUCCCUAACAGAUCUUAAGCAGCAGUGUGACCAGACCUCAACGCCGGAUUGUAGCAUCGCUUCAAUUGGAUUUCCUGCCUGUUCCUGUGCAGUUCUACUCUCCUGUCAAGCCAUUCUCCGGCCCACGCUUCCCUUUCGGACCUCUGCUCAUCGGAUCAUCCUCGUUCCUCAACGCCACCGACAUAACCCGCCGGUCUACAGCCGCGGCUGCUCGCCUGCCACCAGCUCGCCCUCAUCCGCCUGCCGUCUCUUCUCCGUCCGCCUGCUGCUGUUCCCCCCUCUUCUUGUGCACUUGAGCUAAGUAGCGUAGCUAGCUAUAGCUUAUUAUCUUUCUGUUUUUGUGGUAAUGUGCGCGAACGUUACUGUUAGUUUGUAGUCUGACCUUUUAGUCUCGAGUUAGCUCCAGUAGUGGCGGAGGUGUGCGUCUUGCCGCAGAAUACCAUAUUGUUUGUACUUUAAUCAGCCCUAGUUUCUAAGCUUCUCCUAAUGUUUGGUUAGUUUGCUGUUCCUAGCCAGAUUGUUUCCUGGUAAUGGUCCUGAGUAUAUUCUGUUGUUGUAGAUAACCUGUGUAUUCAUUAAAGCUCUUGUACUGAUA